CCCUUAGAUGUUCUGGGCCGCACGCGCGCUACACUGAUGCAUUCAACGAGUCUAAAACCUGGUCUGAUAGGGCUGGGUAAUCUUUUGAAUGUGCAUCGUGAUUGGGAUAGAUGAUUGCAAUUCUUCAUCUUCAACGAGGAAUGCCUAGUAAACGCAAGUCAUCAGCUUGCAUUGAUUAUGUCCCUGCCCUUUGUACACACCGCCCGUCGCUCCUACCGAUUGAAUGUUCCGAUGAAUACCAUGGACUGAGAGUAUGAAUGGGUUCGCCUAUUUCUGCUUCUCGGGAAGUGGAGUAAAUCUUAACAUUUAGAGGAAGGAGAAGUCGUAACA
rnacentral:rRNA from 1 species